UCCAGACUCCUACGGGAGGCAGCAGUGGGGAAUAUUGCACAAUGGGGGAAACCCUGAUGCAGCGACGCCGCGUGAGUGAAGAAGUAAUUCGUUAUGUAAAGCCCUAUCAGCAGGAAAGAAAAUGACGGUACCUGACUAAGAAGCCCCGGCUAACUACGUGCCAGCAGCCGCGGUAAUACGUAGGGGGCAAGCGUUAUCCGGAUUUACUGGGUGUAAAGGGAGCGUAGACGGCAGUGCAAGUCCGGAGUGAAAGCCCGGGGCUCAACCCUGGGACUGCUCUGGAAACUGUAAAGCUGGAGUGCGGGAGGGGCAGGCGGAAUUCCUGGUGUAGCGGUGAAAUGCGUAGAUAUCAGGAGGAACACCGGCGGCGAAGGCGGCCUGCUGGACCGUAACUGACGUUGAGGCUCGAAAGCGUGGGGAGCAAACAGGAUUAGAUACCCGUGUAU
rnacentral:rRNA from 1 species